AUUCAAAAACAUAGUGUAUAUAUAUGUUUAUGAAUAGACCAAACAUUAACGUUUACAUUAACGCUCAUCUCGUAUUUAAACAUUCAACCUUCAUUGAUUUAACUUCUCAAACAAUCUAGACAUCAAGUACCAUAGUGACAUAAAAGGCAAAGCAACAUUAUAUGACUAGAUUAAACUUUGAGAGACAUAAUUUCCCAAAUAUAACUCAACAUGACUAGUAUUUCAAUAACAAACAUUCAAUAUGACUUCUUGUCUCAUGUUCCUAUCAAAAUAUAAUUGUCCAUCAGGUCAGUAGUGAACACUUACAUAGUGACCAUAUAAACAUUCAUUAGUCACAUUUAAAAAUUCAAUAUGGAGUUCUUACCUUAUCAAUGGAGAGCACUAUUGUCACAUGUUGUAAAAAUAUGAUAAAAUCAAAUUUUAAUAUCUCAUCAAUACAUUACCACACAGUUGUCAAAGUUAUACUUUCUUUAUGCAUUUGCAUGAUAAACAACAUGGUUCAUAGACUGAUUAUACAUUUACUUUCACAGUUAUUAAAUUUCUGCUGAAAUACAAGAGAAGCAGUGAAGUAUCACUCAGGAAUGUGAACUAGAGUUUAUGAGAUAAGGAGUUUGCGUCCAUGUUUGCGUGGAGUGGUCUGGUCCUUUCUCUGGUUCAAAUGACCCCAAAGGUCAUUUAUGCUUUUAGUUCAGGCAGUAAUUUUAGUUAUUGGUCAGAAAUGGUCUCUUCAAAGGUCUGUUUGACCUCCAUUUUGUCAGUGUUUGGCUGUGGUCAGGUUCGUGCUGUCAGACCCCCACUUGGGUGAAGAGGUCAGUUCGUGUAGGUCCUGGGUGAAAUAUUCACCCGUCUCUGUGGAAUUCACUCACCUCCUCAUUUUGGAGUCAAAGAAAGGUUGUUUUAUCCCAUGAGAUUAGAGAAAAGAGCAUGAUGUCCUAAACGUGUAAAGUAUUAAUAAUGGCACAACAGACGACAAAUUUAAUUUAAUCCAAUAAAUCAAUAAUUUGUGAAUAUUAUGCUCAGUCAAGACAUUAUUGUGUCCACCCCCUUUAAAUAGCAUGGAAUAUCCGCCGAUACAGCUAACAAACUGCUAAUCUCUUUUUCUGUUAAUAAGCCAUUGAUAUGCUAUUGCAUUUUCAUAUAAGACAUGAAUCACAUAGUUUAGCUUUUAGCACUUCUGCAAUGCAGAACAGGUCUAUUAGGUUGUGUGAAACUUGAUGAGAAGAGCCAAGUUUGAGCUCCAUAUGUUAGCUUUUAAUGUCACCACUGCAAAAUUUACCGAGCAUUUUUAGAGGAAUUCACUGGCUUAUGUGGGACAGCUAUUUACUAUUGGUUAGCAAAGUACGAGAUGUUCAAUUAAGUGUGGAAACCACAUGGAAAGGGAUUGGUUGUCCACCGCAAUAAAAUCAGUGAUUUUGUGUCCCUCAUCAGCUUUGUUUUCUUUUGUUGUUGUCUGGAGUUUCUCACGCUUCGUCUCUCCUUCCAACAAGUUUGUUGCCCCAGCACACAUUUUUCUUUAUUCGUUCUUGUAAAUCUUCAUCACAUUUCAUGAUCUUUCUGCAAAUGUUUGCAGUGUUGAACCUUACAACACAGAUGUUUUGAAAUGCUGUCACGCUUUUUUUCUCACAUUUUACUGCUUUGAUUUUUCCUCAUUUAGUGUUUAAUAACUGCACAGCUGACAUGAUGACAGCAGGCCGCUGCUCUCUGAGUGUGUUGCUACUUCUCAUUACAGCAGGUCACAUAAGGUACAGGUAUUUAUAUACUUAUAUAAACUAAAACUAAAACUGUAUGGUACUAAAUCCCAGGGGUUUUUUUUGUUAAAAGUUGUAUGAAAUUAUAACUUUUAUGUUUUAUGCAGCAUUUUAGCUGCACAAACAUCCAAGUUUUGGAUGGUCUUGUUUUCUCAGCAGAUCUAGCGGAAAUCUAUUUUUUGCAUGCAGUAAUUUGAUCCAAUUUCAUGUAGUCUGCUUAACUUCUCAACCCUCGUUUAUUGGUUUUGUUAUGUUUUUUUUUAUGAACAAAACAGUGCAAGAGGUUAGCUUUGCCUCGAAGUAACAUCAUUAUCCAUCCCACAAUGCAAAGCAGCACUGAAACAUCCGCACAACAACAACUUCAGAUGGCACUUUUUUUCUUUAGAGUGACUUUAAACAAAUCAGAAAGCUGCAAUAAUUCAUAAACAGUCUCACAUAGGAGAGGCGGGAAUAAAAACAGCAGCGUAGAGCAGUUCCGCUUCCCAAACACCCCACCCCUCCCACCCCCAACCCUAUUUUUGAAUCCCCUUCCACUAACCAAUUUCCACCGCAGUCACCUCUGUCCCCUACACUGCCUCUCGCUGGCUAAUUGAAAUUGGCACAUUUAAUUUAGCCCCACAGCCAGCUUCAUUCCGGUGAUGGAUGGCAGUGGAUGAGUGUAAUUGAACUUUGGAAAAAAGAGGAAGGAAGCAAAGGAGGAGACAUCAAUUAGCAUAACCUGACUGGCCACUUCAUUUAUCAGUGGGGGCUGAUGGCUUGGAAUAGAAUAGAAUAGAAUAGAAUAGAAUAGAAUAGAAUAGAAUAUCAUAGAAUAGAAUACAAUAGAACUCAGUGAGUCUAAUAUAACUGUCCACUUCAUUUACCAGUAUUUUUGUGUUUUUGCCAGUAAAAUGACAAUUAAGAGUAGCAGUAGUAGCAGUCUUUUUAGCUUAUUUACUUCCUUUUACAUAAAGUUUUAUUUUGAAGUGUUGAUUCCUGCUAACGGGGCUCGAGCUUAAGGACCUCCCUCUUAAAAAUAAAAAUAAAUAAAAUAAAAAUAGGAUUGGAAGGAUGUAAAUAUGGGACGAAUUUGCGACAAGUCGUGUCGGGGAAAAAAACCCUGCAAAUGUUAACAGACAGCAAUGAAAAUGAAACUGACUGCAAGCUUUGUAUAGCACACACAGUUCUUAUUAAAUCUCCUUGACAACAUACACACACACACAUGCGCAAAUAUUACUGAGAAACAUCGGCUACACCCGUGAAAUCCUGUCAGAUGUCUGUCACCACCAGUAUUGACUGUCAGUAUAAUACACAACGGCAAUGGCAUCCCAUGGUGGGAUACUGCAAUUUUUUAACAUUACAUCAAGAAAACAGAGCCAGACCCUCAACCGCUAGCUUCUGACCUCAAGACAGCCGCAACUGCAACGGGGAAUUCAACCCAAGUUAAUGAGAUUACCUCAAAUGCUUCAAGCUCAAGCAAAUAUGAGGCAAAAGUGGAAGAAAACCUUCCCAUUUGAUGAAUUUGAUGCAGAGACAGACAUGAUGUUCUGCAAAAGCUGCAGUGCUUUUCCCAGUCUUGCAAAAGGGAACAACCUUUUUGUUGGUGUGGCUGGUGGCAAAAUACAGCAUUUCAUUCAGACUGUGAAGGUGCUCAUGCUGCUAAAGAAAACUCAAAACAGACCAGUGGAGUAAUGAAAGAGAGAGCAUGUUCCGUUCAUCGGUCCUUGAUACAGUACAAGAUGGUGGUGUUCAUUCACUUGGUGUUGGACAUUCUUCAGGAGCUGAAUCAGCUCAACCUGCUGUUUCAGAGGGAUGGGCUGACCUUGCAGAUGGUCUCUGAUGGACUACAAACGACAACACAAGCCAUGCAGUGGUUAUCUAGACACACCCAGACCCAAGGCUCCAGAAGGUACUGAAUAAGGAUGGACCUGGAAUGCAGAGAAAGCAGUCACCAACUGGUGGCACAUUGGCUGCAGGACCAGAAGAUCCCAGUUCCAAGACUAAUUAGACCUGGACCCGCCCCGUUACUGGCUGUGCAGAAGCUUGUCAAGCUCUAAUCUAAUCUUGUCGGAUGAAUUUAAAUAAAAAAGUUGAUGAUUCAUCAUCUAA